UGUCACUUUGUUAAACUUUGUUCUCUUAUUCUGAUGCUAUGAUUUGUGGCUAGAUGAGAUUUGUGGUGAAAAGUCUCAUUUAUUUUGUUUACCUAGAGAUCUUGAAUGCACGAUUGAUAAUAUUGCUGGAUAGGUUAGAAAUCUAAAUAAUAGACAUUUUAAAGGAUGUAGUUGCUAAACAUGGAAAGCCAAGAAAAAUAUAUAGCUUACUUACAGUGUUGUUUGAUCCAUCGCUCUAUGGCAGGCUCACUGAUGGACUUGAAGUAUGCCUAAUCUUGGACUGCAUUUAUUGCCUGUUGUUGGGAGCUUUGGAUGGCGGUCUUGAUAUUGCGCACAGUGACAAGAGAUUGCUGGCUUCAAGAAGGAUAAGAAGCAGCUGGGCACUAAGAUUCACCGCAAAUACAUCUAUGAAGGUCAUGUUGCUGACUGCAUGAAGUCAAUAGCUGAUGAGGAAUCUAAGAAGUACCAUCUCACUUCAACACGACGGACGCUGCCAGGUCUGCGUCGACAUCGUGCUCACGGAGCCUGGCCUCUGCGUUGUGUUCUCCAUCUUGCAGUGCAUGAUGAACUACACGCUAAAGUUCAGCUGAAUUUCCCCUGUUUUCUUCUACUACAAGAGUUCUGUCGAUUUGUACUACUUGGCUGCAAAUGUAUGCCGUUUGCAUCACCAUACAGUAGGUAAUCAUGACAGUAUUUCACCACCGGUAAUCUUGCUGUCUUUUAUGGUUGCAGGUUUAUUCUUCUGGAAUUAUUCAUGGUUCUCAUCAUAGCCAUACUGAAUGAUGAUCUCUUCCAUCCAGAAUAUAGCUGCAUAGAAAAUUUAAUCAAUGUAAAAAGACAGGGUAUAAGUGGCAUGCUGUUGAGAACAAAAAGAAGAAGAGAUUGCAGCAUACCUGUUGAACACCUCAGACAUAUUGUUGAGGAGGAUGUCACAUUUGCAGAAAGGGUUAAAGAAAGCCUUUAUCCAUGUUCUUGGAGACAACUUCUCAACCCACUUGUCAUCCUUCAAUGAAGCCAAGAACCACUCCCAACUACUUGUCGAUUCUACUUCACAAAGACCAAAUGCAAUGGGGAAUAUGCAGUCAUUGGGAUCGACACCAACUGCUGUAAGCAAAUUUCCUUUGUACCUAGUUUUAAUGUGGCAGCAACAACAACAACAACAACAACAACAAAGCCUUUAGUCCCAAGCAAGUUGGGGUAGGCUAGAGGUGAAA